UCUUUGGAAGAAGAGAAGGAUUGAUGAGACAUUUCAAGACUCUCAAAAACCGAUAAAUAUUCUGAAGAUUUGCUACUUCUCAUUUUGUUGUUCCUUGUAUAAGGUUGAAGACUGAUUUUGUAAAUUAUAGAAAAUGUCUGUAUAUAUUCGAACUCGAAAGAUAAUGCAAUUUAUUAAUGUCUAUGGUACUACUGAAUGUUUUAAAUAUCCCGAAGUCUUCAGUACUAGCAGGUACCAUUUUUAAAACCUGUUCACUAUAGAUGCUGGACUAGAUGAUAAUGGCUCAUCAUUCCGCAAAGAUUAAGUGUGAAGUAGAAGCGACACCUUCAUCUUUAUACCCAACUCUCCUGAUGUGAUGGAUUUCAUAUAUCGAAGUUAUCGUCGCUGCCAAGUGUCGUCCUUUCGAUUUCUUUUUGAAAAUACAAUACUGGAUCCAAGCUGGUUUCGGAAAAGAUCCCCAUCUGAAUCGCACCACACUGAACCAAGCCAUUUUUAGAUGGAAGAGGAAGAUAUUUUCUCUUGGAUUUCCCAUUCUAUCGCAUUAGACUAACCAGAUUGACAUGUUUUGACCGAAAUGACC